GUGGGUCCAUGUUUAGUGUCCAGGUGUGGAGUGGAGCUUGUUGUUGGUGUGUGUGAAGAAACUAGGUCAGAGGUCACAGUCUGCAGGAUCCAGCUGUCCGUCUGCGAGGAUUGACUGCUCCAAACCUCAACCUCCAGACAUCAGUGCUGAACCUGGACCAACGAGAGUGGACCAGGAGAGCUCAGAGGUUCCCAGUGGUCAGUCUGCCCAGCAGCAUCAAACAC